rnacentral:rRNA from 1 species
AACGAACGCUGGCGGCAUGCCUAACACAUGCAAGUCGAACGAGACAUUCGGGUCCUGGUACGCACGGGAGGGUAACGGAAGGGAACCUUAACUUGGGGUCGGUAUACCUCCCAGCGAGGGAUGCUAAUACGGGACAAUGUCUACGGACCAAUGAUGUAUCGACUCAGGAUGGGCACGCGUUGGAUAAGCUAGUUGGUCGGGUAAAAGACUACCAAGGUUACGAUCCAUAGCUGGUCUGGGAGGAGGUUCAGCAACACUGGGACUGAGACACGGCCCAGACUCCUACGGGAGGCAGCAGUUGGGAAUAUUGGACAAUGGGCGAAAGACUGAUCCAGCAAGGCCGCGUGAGUGAUGAAGGACUUAGGGUUGUAAAGCUCUGUUACCCGGGAUGAUAAUGACAGUACCGGGAGAAUAAGCUCCGGCUAACUCCGUG